GAUGAACGCUGGCGGCGUGCCUAAUACAUGCAAGUCGAGCGAACGGACGAGAAGCUUGCUUCUCUGAUGUUAGCGGCGGACGGGUGAGUAACACGUGGAUAACCUACCUAUAAGACUGGGAUAACUUCGGGAAACCGGAGCUAAUACCGGAUAAUAUUUUGAACCGCAUGGUUCAAAAGUGAAAGACGGUCUUGCUGUCACUUAUAGAUGGAUCCGCGCUGCAUUAGCUAGUUGGUAAGGUAACGGCUUACCAAGGCAACGAUGCAUAGCCGACCUGAGAGGGUGAUCGGCCACACUGGAACUGAGACACGGUCCAGACUCCUACGGGAGGCAGCAGUAGGGAAUCUUCCGCAAUGGGCGAAAGCCUGACGGAGCAACGCCGCGUGAGUGAUGAAGGUCUUCGGAUCGUAAAACUCUGUUAUUAGGGAAGAACAUAUGUGUAAGUAACUGUGCACAUCUUGACGGUACCUAAUCAGAAAGCCACGGCUAACUACGUGCCAGCAGCCGCGGUAAUACGUAGGUGGCAAGCGUUAUCCGGAAUUAUUGGGCGUAAAGCGCGCGUAGGCGGUUUUUUAAGUCUGAUGUGAAAGCCCACGGCUCAACCGUGGAGGGUCAUUGGAAACUGGAAAACUUGAGUGCAGAAGAGGAAAGUGGAAUUCCAUGUGUAGCGGUGAAAUGCGCAGAGAUAUGGAGGAACACCAGUGGCGAAGGCGACUUUCUGGUCUGUAACUGACGCUGAUGUGCGAAAGCGUGGGGAUCAAACAGGAUUAGAUACCCUGGUAGUCCACGCCGUAAACGAUGAGUGCUAAGUGUUAGGGGGUUUCCGCCCCUUAGUGCUGCAGCUAACGCAUUAAGCACCCCGCCUGGGGAGUACGACCGCAAGGUUGAAACUCAAAGGAAUUGACGGGGACCCGCACAAGCGGUGGAGCAUGUGGUUUAAUUCGAAGCAACGCGAAGAACCUUACCAAAUCUUGACAUCCUUUGACAACUCUAGAGAUAGAGCCUUCCCCUUCGGGGGACAAAGUGACAGGUGGUGCAUGGUUGUCGUCAGCUCGUGUCGUGAGAUGUUGGGUUAAGUCCCGCAACGAGCGCAACCCUUAAGCUUAGUUGCCAUCAUUAAGUUGGGCACUCUAAGUUGACUGCCGGUGACAAACCGGAGGAAGGUGGGGAUGACGUCAAAUCAUCAUGCCCCUUAUGAUUUGGGCUACACACGUGCUACAAUGGACAAUACAAAGGGCAGCGAAACCGCGAGGUCAAGCAAAUCCCAUAAAGUUGUUCUCAGUUCGGAUUGUAGUCUGCAACUCGACUACAUGAAGCUGGAAUCGCUAGUAAUCGUAGAUCAGCAUGCUACGGUGAAUACGUUCCCGGGUCU
rnacentral:rRNA from 1 species